CGUUCUUAUGUAAUUAAAUGGUGCAGAAACAAUACCAAAGUGAAUAAAAAGUCUGAAGAAAUAUCGUUUCACACGACCUACCGGAUGAGUCUAAAUCAGUCCUUAACCAAGAUUCAAUCUUUGAUACACCUAGAAAACAUAAACUAAGAGAAAAGUUAAAAAAACAGGAACUUAAUUUUAAAAAAAAAAUGUAAAAAUAAAAUCAAAUUAUUACAGCAAAGAGUUAGACGUCUUUAAAGCAGGAACUUGCCCCUCAGAGGAAUCAUCAAUUACUUAAAAACGCAAGUUUUCAUUGACACAGAUUUAUAUAAUUAAAUAAAUCAAAACACGGCUACAAUAGAUUUAUGUAACAAUUUGAAUCGAAAAAAGGAGUAAAUAUAUUUAUAACUAUAAA
rnacentral:misc_RNA from 1 species